GUCCACGCUGUAAACGAUGUCUGCUAGCCGUUGGGAUCCUUGAGGUCUCGGUGGCGCAGCUAACGCGAUAAGCAGACCGCCUGGGGAGUACGGCCGCAAGGUUAAACUCAAAUGAAUUGACGGGGGCCCGCACAAGCGGUGGAGCAUGUGGUUUAAUUCGAUGCAACGCGAAGAACCUUACCAGGUCUUGACAUCCAGGGAACUUUCCAGAGAUGGAUGGGUGCCUUCGGGAACUCUGAGACAGGUGCUGCAUGGCUGUCGU
rnacentral:rRNA from 1 species